UGCCAGACUCCUACGGGAGGCAGCUGUGGGGAAUAUUGCACAAUGGGCGAAAGCCUGAUGCAGCGACGCCGCGUGAGGGAUGAAGUAUUUCGGUAUGUAAACUUCUAUCAGCAGGGAAGAAAAUGACGGUACCUGACUAAGAAGCCCCGGCUAACUACGUGCCAGCAGCCGCGGUAAUACGUAGGGGGCAAGCGGUAUCCGGAUUUACUGGGUGUAAAGGGGGCGCAGACGGCCAUGGCAAGCCCGGUGUGAAAGGCAGGGGCAUAACCCCUGGACUGCACUGGGAACUGUCAGGCUGGAGUGCCGGAGGGGGAAGCGGAAUUCCUGGUGUAGCGGUGAAAUGCGUAGAUAUUAGGAGGAACACCAGUGGCGAAGGCGGCUUACUGGACUGUAACUGACGUUGAGGCUCGAAAGCGUGGGGAGCAAACAGGAUUAGAUACCCUGGUAAAU
rnacentral:rRNA from 1 species